CUCCUACGGGACGCAGCAGUGAGGAAUAUUGGUCAAUGGGCGAGAGCCUGAACCAGCCAAGUCGCGUGAGGGGGUACUGCCCUAUGGGUUGUAAACUUCUUUUGUCAGGGAGCAAUUGAGUCCACGUGUGGGCUUAGCGAGAGUACCUGAAGAAAAAGCAUCGGCUAACUCCGUGCCAGCAGCCGCGGUAAUACGGAGGAUGCGAGCGUUAUCCGGAUUUAUUGGGUUUAAAGGGUGCGUAGGCGGAAUAUCAAGUCAGCGGUAAAAAUUCGGGGCUCAACCCCGUCGUGCCGUUGAAACUGAUG
rnacentral:rRNA from 1 species